ACUCUCCACUAGAUGGCGGUGUUAAGUGACGAUCCCAGCACUCUCCACUAGAUGGCGGUGUUAAGUGACGAUCCCAGCACUCUCCACUAGAUGGCGGUGUUAAGUGACGAUCCCAGCACUCUCCACUAGAUGGCAGUAAUGCAACUCUUAUGGAUGCCAACUGCUGUUAAACCACAUGAAGAAGCCUUGUUAAAUGUUUCAGAGAGACGGUUGGCACCAUAGACAUAAUAGAAUCUACUUGAUGUUCCUCCAGAUCUGACUGAUCAGAUGCUGUCCUGGACACCUGUUUGAUGAGGUUUACCUGGACCCACAAGACUCUCCUCACAGUAUAAAGGUAUUGUGGGACAGGUGCCAUACUUCUGCCAAGUGAUGAUGGUCUGAAGACAACACAGCAGCAUCAGGACAGAUUCAGUAUCCACAGGAUGACUUCUGUGACCUGAGAGCCUACAUUACCAGCUGACACAUCCUCAGUAGAAAAUAAACCCUUUAGUCUGGGUGAGGACAUGAUCUGGACUGUUAUCUGCUACUCUGUGCAUUAUGUAUACACACUUUAUAUUUACAUUUCAUUGACAUUGACUAUGAAUAAAGUGCUUUAUUUCUA